GGCAACUUGGCCGAGUGGUCUAAGGCGACGCACUCAAGGAGUAUAUAUCCUUCUCUUUCCCAAGAAAGAGUGUAUUGCGUUCUCGCGAGAGGCGUGAGUUCGAAUCUCACAGUUGUCA